UUAAGCGACUGCGGACGACAUUAUCGAGUUUUGAAUGGGUUGUCUGCUGGCUCGCAAGGGCAUGUGCACGCCUGUCUCAUCCACUCUCAACUUCUGUGCACUUUUCAUAGGCCGGCUUGUGGGUGCGUUCGCGCACUUGUAGGUGUCGGGCUUAUGCUUUACUACAAACGAUUCAGUUUUAGAAUGUCAUACUUUGCUAUAACGCAAUUAUAUACAACUUUCAGCAACGGAUCUCUUGGCUCUCGCAUCGAUGAAGAACGCAGCGAAAUGCGAUAAGUAAUGUGAAUUGCAGAAUUCAGUGAAUCAUCGAAUCUUUGAACGCACCUUGCGCUCCUUGGUAUUCCGAGGAGCAUGCCUGUUUGAGUCUCAUGGAAUUCUCAACCUUCAGCUUUAUUGAUGAAGGCUUGGACUUGGAGGUCGUGCCGGCUCUCGAAGUCGGCUCCUCUGAAAUGCAUUAGUGCGAACGUUACCAGCCGCUUCAGCGUGAUAAUUAUCUGCGUUGCUGUGGAGGGUAUUCUAGUGUUCACGCUUCUAACCGUCUUCGGACAAAUUUCUGAACUCUGAGCUCAAAUCAGGUAGGACUACCCGCUGAACUUAAGCAUACUAA
rnacentral:rRNA from 1 species